rnacentral:rRNA from 1 species
UCAAGUUAUUAAGGGUGCAGGGCGGAUGCCUUGGCACUAGGAGCCGAUGAAGGACGUGAUAAGCUGCGAUAAGCUUCGGGGAGUUGCACGUAAACUUUGAUCCGAAGAUUUCCGAAUGAGGAAACUCACUUAGAGUAAUGUCUAAGUAUCAUUAAGUGAAUACAUAGCUUAAUGAGGGGAACUCAGGGAACUGAAACAUCUAAGUACCUGAAGGAAGAGAAAGAAAUUCGAUUCCGUAAGUAGCGGCGAGCGAACGCGGAUUAGCCCAAACCAAUAAAGUUUUCUUUAUUGGGGUUGCGGACAUAUCAUAACGAAGAGGUAUCGUAAUUGAAGAGGUUUGGAAAGACCCACCACAGAAGGUAAUAGUCCUGUAUGUUAAACGAGAAGACUUUAGAUAUGAUCCAGAGUACCACGGGACACGUGAAACCCUGUGGGAAGCAGGAGGGACCACCCUCCAAGGCUAAAUACUACCUAGUGACCGAUAGCGUAUAGUACCGUGAGGGAAAGGUGAAAAGAACCCCGGGAGGGGAGUGAAAUAGAACCUGAAACCCUGCACUUACAAGCUGUGGAAGCACAUUUCUUGUGUGACCGCGUACUUUUUGUAGAACGGGCCAACGAGUUACGUUAAGUAGCAAGGUUAAGCACUUAAGGUGCGGAGCCGUAGCGAAAGCGAGUUUUAACUGAGCGUUCAGUUACUUGACGUAGACCCGAAACCGGGCGACCUACCCAUGAGCAGGAUGAAGCGAAAGUAAAAUUUCGUGGAGGUCCGAACCCACGAGCGUUGAAAAGCUCGGGGAUGACUUGUGGGUAGCGGUGAAAUUCCAAUCGAGCCCGGAGAUAGCUGGUUCUCCCCGAAAUAGCUUUAGGGCUAGCCUCAAGGUGAGAGAUACGGAGGUAGAGCACUGAAUGUCCUAGGGGGUAUUGCACCUACCGAAGACUAUCAAACUCCGAAUGCCGUCAUCUUAUACUUGGGAGUCAGACUGUGGGUGAUAAGAUUCAUAGUCGAAAGGGCAACAGCCCAGAUCGUCAGCUAAGGUCCCUAAAUGUAAGUUAAGUGGUAAAGGAUGUGGGAUUGCACAGACAACCAGGAUGUUGGCUUAGAAGCAGCCACUCAUUCAAAGAGUGCGUAAUAGCUCACUGGUCGAGUGAUCCUGCGCCGAAGAUUUCCGGGGCUAAAACUUACUACCGAAGCUACGGCAUCAGUAAUGAUGGGUAGGGGAGCUUCCCAUACGGGUUGAAGCAUGACCGUAAGGACAUGUGGACAGUAUGGGAGUGAGAAUGUUGGCAUGAGUAGCGAGAUGUGGGUGAGAAUCCCACAGGCCGUAAACCCAAGGUUUCCAGGGGAAGGUUCGUCCGCCCUGGGUUAGUCGGGACCUAAGCUGAGGCCGAAAGGCGUAGGUGAUGGACAACAGGUUGAUAUUCCUGUACUACCGAUAACCGUUUGAGAGAAGGGAUGACACAGUAGGAUAAGCUAAGCACACUGUUGGUUAUGUGUGCCCAAGCAUUGAGGCAGUCAAAGUAGGCAAAUCCGCUUUGAUAAUGCUGGGAUGUGAUGGGGAGCGAAAUUUAGUAGCGAAGUAGCUGAUUUCACACUGUCAAGAAAAGUCUCUAUCGAGGUUAAAGGUACCCGUACCGCAAACCGACACAGGUGGGUGAGGAGAGUAUCCUAAGGCCAGCGAGAGAACUGUUGUUAAGGAACUCGGCAAAAUGACCCCGUAACUUAGGGAUAAGGGGUGCCACCAUCAGGUGGCCGCAGAGAAUAGGCCCAAGCGACUGUUUACCAAAAACAUAGGUUUCUGCUAAGUCGCAAGACGAUGUAUAGGAGCUGACGCCUGCCCGGUGCUGGAAGGUUAAGGGGAUCUGUUAGAGCAAUCGAAGCAGUGAACUUAAGCCCCAGUAAACGGCGGCCGUAACUAUAACGGUCCUAAGGUAGCGAAAUUCCUUGUCGGGUAAGUUCCGACCCGCACGAAAGGCGUAACGAUUUGGGCACUGUCUCAACAACAGACUCGGUGAAAUUGUAAUUCCGGUGAAGAUGCCGGAUACCUGCGACAGGACGGAAAGACCCCAUGGAGCUUUACUGUAGCUUGACAUUGGGUCUUGGUACUACAUGUACAGGAUAGGUGGGAGGCUUUGAAACCAGGACGCCAGUUUUGGCGGAGCCAUCCUUGGGAUACCACCCUUGUAGUACUGGGACUCUAACCAUAGGCCAUGAAUCUGGUCUUGGGACACUGUCAGGUGGGCAGUUUGACUGGGGCGGUCGCCUCCCAAAAGGUAACGGAGGCGCUCAAAGGUUCUCUCAGUACGGUCGGAAAUCGUACGUAGAGUGUAAAGGCAAAAGAGAGCUUGAUUGCAAGACAUACAGGUCGAGCAAGGAUGAAAAUCGGACUUAGUGAUCCGGUGGUUCUGCGUGGAAGGGCCAUCGCUCAACGGAUAAAAGCUACCCUGGGGAUAACAGGCUUAUCUCCCCCAAGAGUCCACAUCGACGGGGAGGUUUGGCACCUCGAUGUCGGCUCAUCACAUCCUGGGGCUGUAGUAGGUCCCAAGGGUUGGGCUGUUCGCCCAUUAAAGUGGUACGCGAGCUGGGUUCAGAACGUCGUGAGACAGUUCGGUCCCUAUCCGUCGCAGGCGUAGGAAAUUUGAGAAGACCUGUCCUUAGUACGAGAGGACCGGGAUGGACGUACCUCUGGUGUACCAGUUGUCCUGCCAAGGGCAUGGCUGGGUAGCUAUGUGCGGAAUGGAUAAGCGCUGAAAGCAUCUAAGCGCGAAGCCAACUUCAAGAUAAGAUUUCCCACCGCAAGGGUAAGACCCCAGAAAGACUAUCUGGUUGAUAGGUCGAAGGUGUAAGUGCAGCAAUGUAUUUAGCUUAUCGAUACUAAUAGGUCGAGGACUUGACCAA